rnacentral:tmRNA from 1 species
GAUCCGUCGAAGCGGCUAGCCGAGGACCAGCCUGCCGGUGGGCGGGUGCGAGGCGAAGCUCAAAUCACCAGGCUAAGCAUGUAGUCCUGACUGCCGAGGGCUUGCGGACGCGGGUUCGAUUCCCGCCGCCUCCACCA